rnacentral:misc_RNA from 1 species
UUCCGUGUAUUCACAUGAGAAAAUGUUUGUUGUAUCGGGCAUCAGUUUGGUAUUAACAUUGUGUGUUAGGAUAGGGGAAACUGGCAGCACGGUUAGUCGGAACACGGGCUAAGCCCGUAGCUUUUAUGGUACAACUUUCGGAUGCUUUCGUCAAUCCAAGGACAGGUAGCCUUAUCCCCUUUGACAUCGUCACAACAAAUGUCGGUGACCACUUCAAGCGAUACCCUGGUAUUUUUGUUGUGCCUUUCAGUGGCACCUACAGCUUUACGCUUAAUAUAGGUUCCUUGGACAACGUUGAACUGGCAAUAAUGACCAACGAUCUUGUAGUUGGACAGGUAGACAACAAUGUUAAGUCAGCAAAUGCAGUUGUAGAACUGAAUAUUGGAGACACAGUCUUUAUCAACGUAACCACUUCUACAAAACUCUCAGUACUAUCGAAUUGCACAUUUACGGGUUUUAAAACUGGUGUCCAUACACACUUCUCUAAAUCUGCUGUACACGGUUCUAAAAGUGGUGCCGAAACACACUGUUGUUGUACAUGCUAAACACUAAUCUCCAGCGGAGGAAACGAAACGAAAGCUAAAACAUCUGACCUAAAUUUUGAAAUUCAAUAAAUGCAAUAUUUGAACAAUU